AUGGAGAAAGCCGAAAAUCCAUAAAAGAGUAGGUA
rfam:Bacteroidales bacterium WCE2008 genome assembly, contig: Ga0070252_17